rnacentral:rRNA from 1 species
GGGUUUAAAGGGUCCGUAGGCGGUUUAGUAAGUCAGUGGUGAAAGCCCAUCGCUCAACGGUGGAACGGCCAUUGAUACUGCUAAACUUGAAUUAUUAGGAAGUAACUAGAAUAUGUAGUGUAGCGGUGAAAUGCUUAGAGAUUACAUGGAAUACCAAUUGCGAAGGCAGGUUACUACUAAUGGAUUGACGCUGAUGGACGAAAGCGUGGGUAGCGAACAGGAUUAGAUACCCUGGUAGUCCACGCCGUAAACGAUGGAUACUAGCUGUUGGAAGCAAUUUCAGUGGCUAAGCGAAAGUGAUAAGUAUCCCACCUGGGGAGUACGUUCGCAAGAAUGAAACUCAAAGGAAUUGACGGGGGCCCGCACAAGCGGUGGAGCAUGUGGUUUAAUUCGAUGAUACGCGAGGAACCUUACCAAGGCUUAAAUGUAGAUUGACCGGUUUGGAAACAGACUUUUCGCAAGACAAUUUACAAGGUGCUGCAUGGUUGUCGUCAGCUCGUGCCGUGAGGUGUCAGGUUAAGUCCCGCAACGAGCGCAACCCCUACCUUCUGUUGCGACCAGGUCAUGCUGAGCACUCUGAAGGGACUGCCGGUGACAAACCGGAGGAAGGCGGGGAUGACGUCAAAUCCUCAUGGCCUUUAUGCCUAGGGCCACACACGUGAGACAAUGGCAACUACAACGGGUUGCAAGACCGUAAGGUGGAGCCAAUCCCUUAAGAGUUGCCUCAGUUCAGAUUGAAGGCUGCAACUCGCCUUCAUGAAGUUGGAAUUGCUAGU